rnacentral:tRNA from 1 species
GCCGCUGUGGCGGAAUUGGUAGACGCGCAGGUCUCAAAAACCUGUGGGCUUCACGCUCAUGUCGGUUCGAUCCCGACCAGCGGCA